rnacentral:tmRNA from 1 species
GGGGGUGCACCGGUUUCGACGGUUGCGAGAAAUCCUGUGUUGCAGGCGGGAGUGAAGGAUCCCUAAUCUGACAAAAACUAUAACUGCCAAACGUAAGGAAGACGAAGAGUCUUACAACGAACAGUUAGCUCUCGCUGCGUAAGUAGCGACUUAAAGAGCCGGAAUCCAAAUUGCGCCGCUCUUAGCGAUUUGGAAUUCUGUUACAAACAGGGGCUUGCUUGCCGUCGUUUUUGGCUGGCGGCUGGGACUUUUAGUCAAAAUACGGAAAAGACGCUUGUCAUGCUGCUACCUUUUCCCGACAACCACCUCGCAUGACUACGCCUGUAGACGCGCUUGGUUUGCGCAUUCGGACGGGGGUUCGAUUCCCCCCAUCUCCAUCA